UACGUAUGUCACAAGCGUUAUCCGGAUUUAUUGGGCGUAAAGCGCGUCUAGGUGGUUAUGUAAGUCUGAUGUGAAAAUGCAGGGCUCAACUCUGUAUUGCGUUGGAAACUGCAUGACUAGAGUACUGGAGAGGUAAGCGGAACUACAAGUGUAGAGGUGAAAUUCGUAGAUAUUUGUAGGAAUGCCGAUGGGGAAGCCAGCUUACUGGACAGAUACUGACGCUAAAGCGC
rnacentral:rRNA from 1 species